rnacentral:rRNA from 1 species
UACGGAGGGUGCAAGCGUUAUCCGGAUUUACUGGGUUUAAAGGGUGCGUAGGUGGGUCUGUAAGUCAGUGGUGAAAUCUCCGGGCUUAACCCGGAAACUGCCAUUGAUACUAUAGAUCUUGAAUAUCCUGGAGGUGAGCGGAAUAUGUCAUGUAGCGGUGAAAUGCUUAGAUAUGACAUGGAACACCAAUUGCGAAGGCAGCUCACUACGGGAUUAUUGACACUGAGGCACGAAAGCGUGGGGAUCAAACAGG